UGCAGUCUGCAACUCGACUGCACGAAGCUGGAAUCGCUAGUAAUCGCGGAUCAGCACGCCGCGGUGAAUACGUUCCCGGGCCUUGUACACACCGCCCGUCAAACCAUGAGAGUUGGCAACACCCGAAGUCGGUAGUCUAACCGCAAGGAGGACGCCGCCGAAGGUGGGGUUGAUGAUUAGGGUUAAGUCGUAACAAGGUACC
rnacentral:rRNA from 1 species